GGGCCCGUGGCCUAGCCUGGAUAGGGCGCCGGCCUGCGGAGCCGGAGAUCCCGGGUUCAAAUCCCGGCGGGCCCGCCA
rnacentral:tRNA from 1 species